ACGCUUGUGCGCAGGCGCGCGGGGCCGCCGUCGCAGCUACUUUCCUGCGCCGCUUCCUGCGAGGGAGCCCUAGUCUCUGCCCGGUCCGCAACGGCAACGUUGGUGUCACGGCGCGGUGUGGGCAAGACGGGUGACUGGCAGCAGGGCGGUGCUGGGCCGAGAAGUGUCUCAUCUGGCGCCUUCCGCUCUUCCUUUUCACCUCUGGGUUGCAGAGAGCCGCUAGGGCAGCCUCUAGGGCACAAUGUCUGAGCAACAGCGUAUACAGGAAUGUCUGCGGAAGGAAAUAAGAUCACUUCUCAUUUCCACCAAAGAUGGUUUGAGCCCACAGCAGUUGGAGAAGGAGUACCUUUUGAUGAUUGGCAACCAUCUACCACUCCGGAUCCUUGGGUAUCGGUCCACUAUGGAGCUGGUAUUGGACAUGCCUGAUGUUGUUAGUGUCUGCUCCGGUGCAGGUGGUACCGUAAUACUGAAAGCCAUUCCAGAUGAAUCUACCAAAGGAAUAGCAAGCUUAGUUGCAAAACAGAAGAGCAGCCAUAAGGUUCGAAACUGCAUGCAUAAGGGAAGGCCCAGUUUUUAUUCUGGACCAAGCUCUCAUCGGCGAGUACCUUACCGAGGAAGGGUUGCCCCUAUUCUUCCAGCUGUUGUGAAGAGUGAGUUGAAGGACCUGUUGGCGUUAUCUCCUGUUCUCCUUUCUGAUUUUGAAAAGGCAUUUGCCAAAAGAUUUGGACGAUCAUUCCAAUACACGCAAUAUGGAUUUCUCUCUAUGUUUGAAGUGCUAAAUGCAGCUUCAGAUAUCAUUUCUGUAGAGCAGACCAGAGCAGGUUCUUUGUUGAUGCUAAAGAAGAGUGUAAAAGAGGAAAAGUGGAGAGGAUGGCCAGCAGGUAAGAUUUUUACCCAGCCAUUUAGAAUGAAACAAGGGUCAUACUCCACAGGCUUUCCGGUAGCAAAGGCAUGCUUUUCACAACCCACUUCAAACAUGGAACCACCGAAGCAAAUAAUGAGCAUGGAAAAGACUUCCAACUUAAAUGUAGUGGAGACUUCAAGGCUGAAUCAGACUGAAAAAUUAAACCAGCUGGAGAACACAUUCAAAUCAGUUAUUGCACAAAUUGGACCUGGAGGAACUAUCAGUCCAGAACUAAAACAUAAGAUAAAAUUUGUUGUAUCUAAGUUCCCAGAGGGUUUGUUUAUUUCUAAACUGCUUGGAGAGUAUGAGGUAAUUUUUCAGGAGCAACUUUCACCAAAAAAAAUGGGCUUCUUAAAUGUGACAGAACUUGUUGGAGCUCUUAGUGACAUUCUGCAUGUUGAGUUCAGGGAAGGACAGCAAGACUUAGUAGUGUUUGAUGUUGAUAAGAAGCCUCUGCCUCCUGUUCAAUCAGAUAAGAAAAUAGAAGCCAAGGCUUAUGUCUCCAGUCCACCUAGAAAUUCACUGUCUACUGCUACUGUCAAAGAGACUGCAUGGAAUUGUCCUUCAAAAAACCAAAAAGAGCCACAACAGAAAAUUUGCAAGAAGCCUAAUGUGGUGGUAAAGCCUUUACAGCUGCAAGUGGAAAUAGACAAAUCACAACUCAACCUGGCAAUGGCAAAUCAUGACAUCCCACCAGAUGCUGUGCGUGACAAGAAAUUAUUCAGACUCCCACCAUUAGACACCAGUUCCCUUGUAGGGGUCUUUGUGGAGUAUAUCAUCUCUCCUAGUCAAUUCUACAUCCGGAUCUAUAGCAGGGAUUCAUCAGAGUUACUCGAAGAUAUGAUGAUUGAAAUGAGGCGCUGUUAUUCUAAUCAGCUGGUUUCUGAUCGAUAUGUCAUGCCAGAAUGUUUUAUUCAGCCGGGACAUCUCUGUUGCGUGAGGAUUUCUGAGGAUAAGUGGUGGUAUCGGGUCAUUAUCCAUCGAGUCCUUGGAAAACAGGAAGUUGAAGUGUUCUACCCAGACUUUGGAAAUGUUGGAACUGUUCAGAAGUCCUCCCUGAGGUUCCUCAAGUGCUGCUACACAAAGCUUCCAGCUCAGGCUAUCCCUUGUUCCUUGGCUUGGGUGAGACCAGUAAAGGAACACUGGACAUCAAAAGCUAUUCUGCAGUUCCAGAAGUUGUGUGGUUUGAAGCCAUUAGUGGGGGUAGUGGAUGAAUAUGUAGAUGGCAUCCUUAACAUUUUUUUGUGUGAUACAUCCUCAAACGAAGAUAUCUAUUUCCAUCAUGUCUUAAGAACAGAGGGCCAUGCUAUUGUAUGCCGAGAAAAUGUCUCUUCUAAGGGUUUCGGUGAGCUCAACCCUAUAGCUUUAUACACGAAAUCCAGUGGAGGGCCAGAGGACACUGUCUUGACAGAACUGGGUUAUCCUUCCCAGCAGCACUAUUUUAAUGAAGACCGAAUGAUAAGUCCACAGUCAAAAGAGAAUGAGUUACAUAUCCUGCAAGGUAUUAAUGAUGAAAAGUCUUUAAGUCAUCUGAAAUCUGAGUCAAAGGAGCCAUUAAAGGAUUCUGAAUUUGAUUCUUUGAAAACCUGCGAUAAGAGCUUUGAAGAAGAUCCAAAGUGGUCCAAUCCAGAGCCAAAAGAUCUGAAGGAAGAAAAUGAGGAUGAGAUCCCCACUGGAAUGCCAUGCCUGGAGUCAGUGACCAUAGGUGAUGAUAUUUGGGAUGAGAACUGGUUACCUGUGCAGGCUAAGAUGGGAAAAAGAGGUGAUGCUGCCUCUCGUCUAUUUACUGCAAGCCUUGGUGGAAAGAAUCAGUAUUCAUCAUGUAAAGAAAUGCCACAGAAGGAUUGGUGCUUUUCUACACCCAAAGAUAAAUGGGAUGAUUCUUGGCAGCCUUCAGGCCUUGUAAAUGGAACAAAAGUAGUUCAUAAAUCAGAAGGACUGGGUGCUCAGGAAAAAAAUACUGGCACAAACAAGAUUCAAAAGCAACUAGACUUAAAUGGCUCUUCAGAUUCUUCCACACUGCCCAAAUUGGAAGAAUGCUAUACCUCUCUUACCCAGUCAGAGCAGUCAGCAUACAGGAGCCAGUCUGAACUCAGCAACAGUCAGACUCAGCCAAAGCAAACUCAGCCUUCCACAGCAGUAUCCAGUUCAACUCCUGGAGUGGAUGUUUCUGCAGAACAGCCGUCUGGUUUUGUGGAAAGUUCUCCAGAGAUCCUAAAGAAUGAAGACUGUUCUAGCAGCCGUGCUAUUACAGUGUACAAAGACAAGAGUCAAGAAUCCAUGGAUCAGCUGUCAUUGAUUUUGUCUUAUGAGUGCCAGAUUUCCCAGAAGCUCUACAUUCCUCGAAGUACAGCCACUGCUGCCUUAGGUGCUGCCGCACGGUUAGCUACAUCCAGAAGCCUCCUACAGUGGUACCCCAGUGUGAAAAGGAUGGAAGCAUGAGGGAGGGAGGGAGAAAAACAGAAUCCAGCCACUUAGGGCUUGAAUAACUCCCAGGCCAAAAUGAGGAGGUACUGAAGCAAACUAGUAUCUUGAUCGUUGAUACUGUUGUCUUUCUGUGACUAUAUGUUAGCUUAAUUAUGCUAACAACCUACUUUGAUGUCUUCUGUAUCAUGGAGCAUCAUUAUGUCUUUGAAAUAUUGGGAUCAGUAAGAAAAUCUACACCCUGAAGCUUUGGUCAUAUGAAUACUUUUACAUUAAAAAAAAAUUAAGCCGUUUGUUUGCAGUAAAGGCAAUUUCUGAAAUGUAGCUGAGCCAUCUCGAUAAUUAUCACAGUUCCCAGGAGCCUAAUCGUAACAAUCGUUGAGCAGUGGCAUUGUUUGAGCAUUUAUAUAACAUGUUCGCUGAGGUCAAAUUGUGUGAAAUGUGUUAUGGCAGUCUGUUGAGCUCAUAGUAUAGAUCAUCAAAAAAGACCAAAGGUGACAUUUUAAAAUGUGAGUAGUGCUGGUUAAUUUUUUCUUUUUUGCCAGACUUACAUCUAGAUUUAAAAAGUAUUUUACUCACAGAAUUAACUCCCCAAACAGAAUCAUUUCUGAGAAAUAUGUAAAUAGUGAGCAUGCUUCAUGUAACAAAGUUCUCACCCUUACAGCUGCUCUUCUAAGGCCUCCUUAUUUGGCAUUAAAUGACAGAGCUGGUCUCCUGGUUCUUCUCUUUUUCUAUAAUAAGGAUUUUCUCCUUUUUCCUUCUCAACUAUUUAGUUAGCAAAAUAUCUACUACGGAAGGAAGUAGGAUGGGAGUAAAUAUGGAAAUACAUUCAGAGUAUUAUUUUAAAAAAAAGUUAAACCAAAAGUCUUUAAAUACUAAUCAUUUUCUGUUUAAAAGCCUUAGAGAAAACAUGUUUAAAUGUAAUAGAAUUUAAAAGCUCGGAUUCGUCUUUAGUUCCAGUAUAUCUAUAAGGAUAAUAUAAGGAUUAAACUAUUUGACAAAAAAAGACGAAGUAAUCUGGAAACAUGACUGAUAGUUAAUCCAACUGAUGAAACAGGUUUGGGCCUUUGUGAAUUUGUAUCAGAUAUCUUUUUACUGGAGAAGACAGCUGGAGAGUUAUGAGGAGGGUGAGUGGACAGUUAAAUAUCCUGUGAUGCUCAAUUGAUAAUGAACUGGUGGAGCUGUUUUUCAUAUAACUUUUGAUACUCAUACAAAAUGUGUUUCAAAAGAAGAAAAUUCAUUGUGAAGUGAUGGCUCUUCUGAUUCUUUCUUUAAAGAAGCCAAAUCUGAUAUUAUAGUUUACUUUUCCAGGUGAACACUUAACUGGGUUUGGGGCAAGAUGAAUCUGGUAUGUCUUAAGGGUUAACGGAUAUACAUUUAGUAAGCUAAACCAUAACCCUCUCUAUAAUAGCACCCAGCUACCAGGAGGCAGUCUGCCAAAGCUGGGUAGCCUUUUUGCAAGUUUCAUAGUUGGUUUCAUAAUCUGACAGGGACUCAUUUUACACCUUGCAAACUGGAUGGGGAUUAUAAAAUAACUGCUAAGGCUGUUUCAGAAUCUCAUUUGCCUGUGGCUGGAUAGAGAAUCAUUUAGACAAAACUAUCUCAAACUUCUUUCAAAUGAGUGUCAACACACUUUCAAAGAAGCCUGUUUAGUAAUUAAUAAUACCUUAUUUAUUUCAGUUGGUGUGAAGAAUGAACCUUUGAGAGGCUUGUACAUGUUGACUCCUUGGCUUUGAGUAGGAUAGUCACCCUGUCAGUCAUCUGUUUACUUAUAUCUUCUCCCAAAAAGGUGGCCUUUGGUAAUUAAAGUUAUCAGCAAAGUAUCAAACAAAGUAGAUGCAUCAUUUGAAAAUGAGUAAAUAGAUUUCUGUAUAUGAGCAGGAACAGUGUUGAAAAGGUAUGUAGAUGCUAUUGUCAAAAGAUGAGCUGACAUCUAUACUUUGAACAGUUCCCUACCCCACCCCCAGCAUUUUUGGUAUUCAGGAGCUGUUUGCAGUAAUGGAGGUCCCCAAGGAAUGUUGAAUGGGAAGUGGGAGCCUGAGGUAGGUGAAAGGAAAUGAGUGAGAACAUAAAGGAAAAUCCUGGUGCUAAACUCUUUAGGGAUGGAAGGGACUAAGGAGUCUGGCUUGCCUCUGACUGGCUUGACUAAAAGCGACUCUGGUUUCAACUCCAGUGGCUUGUAGCCAAUAAUACCCAUUCUCCCAUCCAAAAAUACCCCAAAAGGCUGGGCACAGUGGCUUAUGCUUAUAAUCCUAGCACUUAGGGAGGCUGAGUUGGGUGGAUCACUUAAGGCCAGGAGUUUGAGAUCAGCCUGGCAAACAUGGUGAAACCCCAUCUCUACUGAAAAUACAAAAAUUAGCCCUGUGUGGUGGCAUGCACCUGUAGUCCCAGCUACUCAGGAGCAGAGGUUGCAGUGAGCUGAGAUUGCACCACUGCACUCCAACCUUAAAACCCAUGAGAUAGCAAAAGAGGAGCCAUUCCAGGCAGCAGGCAGCCUUUCACCUCCAAACUUGACAUGUUUGAGAUGUCAGUUACCCGUUUUAAGGCAUGGGGAGUACUAGAGGCUUCUGCCCACUAUCAGUCAGCUUGUGUCUAACCUAGAGAUGUAGAAUUACAGAAUUUUGAUCUAGAAGGGAACUUACAUGAGCAAAUUUGAUGUCGAGAAAGAUUAACUUGACAGCAGCCAGCGGUGGCUGGCAAGAUGGAUGAAUAGGAACAGCUCCCAGUGAGAUCAACACAGAAGGUGGGUGGUUUCUGCAUUUCUGACUGAGUCAAGACCCACCCGUGUGCUGUAUUCAGGAGACCCAUCUCAUGCACAAAGGCACACAUAGGCUCAAAGUAAAGGGAUGGAGGAAUAUUUAUACCAAACAAAUAGAAAAAAAAAAAAGCAGGGGUUUCAGUCCUAGUCCCUGAUAAAACAGACAUAAACCAACAAAAAUCAAAAAAGACAAAGAAGGGCAUCACAUAAUGGUAAAGGGAUCAAUGCAACAAGAA